UCCAAGGUCCAAACGUCUCAGAUCUCUGAUGUUCUGAUCAUCCCAGGUUGGAUCUCCUGAGCCUGGAAUCCUCCACCUUCAACACCGUCAGUCAGGUGGAGGAAGAUAAGAGAACCCAGUUGACGAAAAAAAGUAAGAACAUUUCUAUCUACUCAACAUAACUAAACAUUUCAGAUGGAGCUGCGUAGAGUUGAGCUGAAAGUUCCAAACUGGUUCUGUCUGCUGUCCAUGAUUAUUUUCCUCUUUAACUCUCCUGUCUUUUCUCUUGAUUUCAUUUCUCUGUCAACUCAUGUCACAUGACUUGAGUUGACCAACAAAUAAAGCAGAAGACCUGCUCCACCUGCUGUUCUACUGGUUGGAAGAGAUUGUGGAAAAGCAUCAGCGAGAAAAGACAACAACUCUUGACCUAUGAGGAGAGAGAAGACACAGAGGACUGAGGAGACAAAGAAAAUCCUGCUGGGAAUCCAUGAAAAAUGUUUCCUGAUGGAACAGGGGGACAGCUGAGGACAGGACAGCAUGAAGAGACAGAGAUCAUGUGAAGUUGGAUCUUCUGAACCUGGAAUCCUCCACCUUCAACACCAUCAGGCAGGUGGAGGAAGAUAAGAGAACCCAGUUAACGAAAAAUUUCUUUCAUAACAGCAGAGCUUUGAUGAGCUUUGUACUGAUGGAAGGAGGAUCAGGAAUAGAGCAGAGAACCUGCUGAUCUACUGGUUCUAGUAGGUUUUAUAAACGCAUGACUGAAACAAGUCAACAGCACUGGACAAAUGAGGAGAGAGACGACACAGAGGACUGAGGAGACAGAAAAUCCUGCUGGAAAUCCAGAGACGUUUCCUGAUGCGUCAGGGGGACAGUUGAGGACAGGACAGAAUAAAGAGACAGAGAUCAUGUGAAGUGGAUCCUCAUCAGCUUAGAAUCCUCCACCUUCAACACCAUCAGGCAGGUGGAGGAAGAUAAGAGAACCCAGUUGAUGAAAAAAUUGACCAACAAAUAAAGCAGAAGACCUGCUCCACCUGCUGUUCUACUGGUUGGAAGAGAUUGUGGAAAAGCAUCAGCGAGACAAGACAACAACUCUUGACCUAUGAGGAGAGAGAAGACGCAGAGGACUGAGGAGACAGAAAAUCCUGCUGGAAAUCCAUCAAAAAUGUUUCCUGAUGGACCAGGGGGACAGCUGAGGACAGGACAGCAUAAAGAGACAGAGAUCAUGUGAAAUUCAAGGAUGACCUUUCAACCCUGGAUUUCAUUUCUGCUUUGGAGCUUCAAGUGUGGAAAAGUUGAUGUGAGAGGAAAUCUUUGAGGUUCGGCUCAGUGAAAAGGGCAGCACCAGACGACAAGAAGAAACCAGACUGCUAGGAUUCUCCUUGAGACGGACCAAACCUCGCUUUCCUGUUCAAACACUGACAAAAUACCAAAGCCCAAGACAAACCAUCAGUUUCUAAAAAGACAUGGACUUGGGGAUGCAAAACUCUUUGGACUUUACUGAGUUCAAAUAAAGAAUCACAAAACACAAAUGUGGAUGUUAACUUGUGAAAGCUGCUCUGUCAAAGUUCUGACUCUGCUGCGUUGGGGUUGUUAUAUUUAUAUUUCUACAUUCAACUGUCACUACCAGCUGCUAUGACUAUUGUUGAAAACUGUUGUAAUGCUUAAUUGUAUUUAUGUAUAAAUAUUAGAAAUUAACAUUUUUAUGUCAUCAGAAA